rnacentral:rRNA from 1 species
AGGACGAACGCUGGCGGCGUGCUUAACACAUGCAAGUCGAGCGGAAAGGCCCUUCGGGGUACUCGAGCGGCGAACGGGUGAGUAACACGUGAGUAACCUGCCCUUAGCUCUGGGAUAGCUCCGGGAAACCGGAAUUAAUACCGGAUAUUACACCGGCUGGCAUCGGCUGGUGUGGAAAGAUUUAUCGGCUAAGGAUGGACUCGCGGCCUAUCAGCUUGUUGGUGGGGUAGAAGCCUACCAAGGCGACGACGGGUA